AACAUAAAAAUUUGGUAAAAGAUUUAAUUACCAACAUUUUCUGGAGGUUUCAAAUCCUGGGGUCAAAUUGACCCCAAGGAUAACAGAUGUUAGUAAAUUUGAGGAUAACAGGAGGGUUAAUCAUCCAUUAAACAUUUGAGACAUUGUUUUUCCUCAUAAUCAAUUUUUGAUGGGUGUUGCAUUUUCUCCCUCUUUAAUGUCACGUUCUUUUUUUCCAGUAACUCCGGCAUCAUCUCAGAUGCUUGGCAUAUAUGUUCAGGGACCACCACUCCAGGAGCUUCAGAACAAGGGUCCGGUGACUAUUACCUGUCUUCUAAUCGGCCCUUCUCUUAAUGAUUUCUCUGUCACCUGGAAAGUAGAUGGGAAAAGUUAUUCCCUCAAUGUCCAUAAGGAGCCACCAGUGAGUCACAGCAAUGGGACGGAGACUUUGCGGAGCUCCCUCGAUGUGUUAGCGGAGGAUUCGCAUGCAUAUAAACAAGUGUCUUGCGAGGCAAAGCAUCGAUGUUCCAACCAGAGCUACGAGGACCAUAUAAGCAAAAGCAGAGUCACCCACAGCAAACCUUCAGCCAUCUUGCUCCAGGGCUCUGGUGAACUUGUGUGCCUGGUCUCCACGUUCAGCCCUGAGUCCAUUAACAUCACUUGGUUACUCGAUGGCAAGGAACUGUGGGACUACAACACCAGUGAACCCCACAGAGGCCCAAACGGAAAGUUCAGCAUCCAAAGCCACCUUCGUCUGUCCCAAGUCAUCUGGUUACGUGGGGCAGUCCUCACCUGCAGGGUGACACAAACACCACCCUAUUCCUGAAUAAAUCGAAACCAGGUGCUAGUUUGUCCAUUGAUUCAAGUCUUUCUUGUACAUUAAACACUGUACAUACUAAGUUAACCACCUAUAUGUAGCACCGGUAUCACACCUCUAACUGCGCCACUGGACCAGUUCUAGGUUCUAAGGAGUGGCGAGCAAAACAAUAAUUACACCAGAGACCGUUGCUUUAAAUACAAAAGGCCGGCCAUUUACUAAAUGCAAAAACACAUAAAAUACAGUACACAAAACA